rnacentral:rRNA from 1 species
AAUUCGAUGCAACGCGAAGAACUUACCUGGUACUUGACAUCCCGGAAGACCCUUUAGGAACUAGGGGUGCUUCCAUCUGGAAGAAUCUGGAGACAGGUGCUGCAUGGCUGUCGUCAGCUCGUGUCGUGAGAUGUUGGGUUAAGUCCCGCAACGAGCGCAACCCUUGCCUUUAGUUGCCAGCAGUUCGGCUGGGCACUCUAAAGGGACUGCCGGUGUUAAACCGGAGGAAGGUGGGGAUGACGUCAAGUCCUCAUGGCCUUUAUGACCAGGGCUACACACGUACUACAAUGGCCGAUACAAAGGGCAGCGACACUGCGAGGUGAAGCCAAUCCCGUAAAAUCGGUACUCAGUCCGGAUUGGAGUCUGCAACUCGACUCCAUGAAGUUGGAAUCGCUAGUAAUCGUGGAUCAGCAUGCCACGGUGAAUACGUUCCCGGGCCUU